rnacentral:rRNA from 1 species
GACGAACGCUGGCGGCGUGCUUAACACAUGCAAGUCGUACGGUAAGGCCCUUUCGGGGGUCCACGAGUGGCGAACGGGUGAGUAACACGUGAGUAACCUGCCCACAACUUUGGGAUAACGCUAGGAAACUGGUGCUAAUACUGGAUAUGUGCUCCUGCUGCAUGGUGGGGGUUGGAAAGCUCCGGCGGUUGUGGAUGGACUCGCGGCCUAUCAGCUUGUUGGUGGGGUAGUGGCCUACCAAGGCGGCGACGGGUAGCCGGCCUGAGAGGGUGACCGGCCACAUUGGGACUGAGAUAAGGCCCAGACUCCUACGGGAGGCAGCAGUGGGGAAUAUUGCACAAUGGGCGCAAGCCUGAUGCAGCAACGCCGCGUGCGGGAUGACGGCCUUCGGGUUGUAAACCGCUUUCAGCAGGGACGAAGCUUUUUGUGACGGUACCUGCAGAAGAAGCACCGGCUAACUACGUG